rnacentral:tRNA from 1 species
UUAGUUAAAGCCAAGAAGAGGAGGCAUUUUAGUGUUAAUAAAAGAAUUGAAUUUUAUUCUAACUAAA